GGUUUCUAGCUCACGUAUAUAUUUGGUUUAGUAUUAUAAUGUAGGAGAGGGAUUUUUAGCACCUCUCGGGUUCUCCGGCAGCCCAUGAGCCAAAACUCGACGAGUUCUACACCGUCCCACAUGACAAAAAGAAAAGAAAAAUUAACUCGAAUCUAAUGAGAUAAAAUAAGAAUCCAAAAAAAUAGGAAGAAAUGGAGAUUUUAUAUAAAUAGAGAAUCACAUCUGGUUGAAAUCCUCCUUAAAUCCCACUAUGUUUAUCAUCCGAUUUACUCCUUGUGAUAUCAUAAAAAUGUGAGUAUAUAAAGGAUAGCGACAAGGAGGUU